rnacentral:misc_RNA from 1 species
CCCAGUGUCUGUGAUAGGUAGUGAUCGAAGAGUGAUGCAGCCCUUUGCAUCAUAUGUGGAAAGCUUCAACACCCUGAGAUGAUAACAAAGCUCUAGAAGAUGGUUGAGGCAACCAAAUGUUGAACAAAUUCGGCUUUCUGCCUUCUCUCUUCAGAGCCCUCCUCAUCACCUCCAUCAAGUGAAGAUAUCUCACUCCUUUCUGAAUAGGCACUUCUAUUGGAAGAUUCAUCUUGCUGGCUUCCUUUAGGGUGUGAAUGGGAUACAAUACCAAGAAAUGGUGAGAGAAGUGGAUCUGGUGCAGAUUCAUUUGAGUUUAAUCUACCAUUUGUUGAAGUUCCAAGAAAUAAGCUAAGUUCCUUGCCAAUCAUAGCUGAACUACCAGUCCAGAGACCAGAUUUUAGAGGUUUUCUCCUUCGCUUCAGUGAACUUGCAUGUUGUACUAUGAAAUGCCCAAUCACAUCUUUC